rnacentral:rRNA from 1 species
AAACGACUCUCUGCAACGGAUAUCUCGGCUCUCACAUCGAUGAAGAACGUAGCGAAAUGCGAUACUUGGUGUGAAUUGCAGAAUCCCGUGAACAAUCAAGUCUUUGAACGCAAGUUGUGCCCGAGGCCUCUUGGUCUAGGGCACGUCUGCCUGGGUGUCACGC